rnacentral:rRNA from 2 species
CUGGUGUCAGCCGCCCCUUUAAUACCAGCACCUCGAGUGGUCAGGACGUUUAUUGGGCCUAAAGCAUCCGUAGCCGGCUUUGCAAGUCUUCGGUUAAAUCCACCUGCUCAACAGAUGGGCUGCUGGAGAUACUACAGAGCUAGGGAGUGGGAGAGGCAGACGGUAUUCAGUGGGUAGGGGUAAAAUCCUCUGAUCCAUUGAGGACCACCAGUGGCGAAGGCGGUCUGCCAGAACACGUUCGACGGUGAGGGAUGAAAGCUGGGGGAGCAAACCGGAUUAGAUACCCGGGUAGUCCCAGCUGUAAACGAUGCAAACUCGGUGAUGCAUUGGCUUAUGGCCAAUGCAGUGCCGCAGGGAAGCCGUUAAGUUUGCCGCCUGGGAAGUACGGACGCAAGUCUGAAACUUAAAGGAAUUGGCGGGGGAGCACCACAAGGGGUGAAGCCUGCGGUUCAAUUGGAGUCAACGCCAGGAAUCUUACCCGGGGAGACAGCAGAAUGAAGGUCAAGCUGAAGACUUUACCAGACAAGCU